rnacentral:rRNA from 1 species
GAUGAACGCUGGCGGCGUGCCUAAUACAUGCAAGUCGAGCGAACAGAUGAGGAGUUUGCUCCUCUGACGUUAGCGGCGGACGGGUGAGUAACACGUGGAUAACCUACCUAUAAGACUGGGAUAACUUCGGGAAACCGGAGCUAAUACCGGAUAAUAUAUUGAACCGCAUGGUUCAAUAGUGAAAGACGGUUUUGCUGUCACUUAUAGAUGGAUCCGCGCCGCAUUAGCUAGUUGGUAAGGUAACGGCUUACCAAGGCAACGAUGCGUAGCCGACCUGAGAGGGUGAUCGGCCACACUGGAACUGAGACACGGUCCAGACUCCUACGGGAGGCAGCAGUAGGGAAUCUUCCGCAAUGGGCGAAAGCCUGACGGAGCAACGCCGCGUGAGUGAUGAAGGUCUUCGGAUCGUAAAACUCUGUUAUGAGGGAAGAACAAAUGUGUAAGUAACUGUGCACGUCUUGACGGUACCUAAUCAGAAAGCCACGGCUAACUACGUG